GGUUAAGCGACUAAGCGUACACGGUGGAUGCCCUGGCAGUCAGAGGCGAUGAAGGACGUGCUAAUCUGCGAUAAGCGCCGGUAAGGUGAUAUGAACCGUUAUAACCGGCGAUUUCCGAAUGGGGAAACCCAGUGUGACUCGUCACACUAUCAUUAACUGAAUCCAUAGGUUAAUGAGGCGAACCGGGGGAACUGAAACAUCUAAGUACCCCGAGGAAAAGAAAUCAACCGAGAUUCCCCCAGUAGCGGCGAGCGAACGGGGAGGAGCCCAGAGCCUGAAUCAGCAUGUGUGUUAGUGGAAGCGUCUGGAAAGGCGCGCGAUACAGGGUGACAGCCCCGUACACAAAAGCGCAUGUGCUGUGAGCUCGAUGAGUAGGGCGGGACACGUGGUAUCCUGUCUGAAUAUGGGGGGACCAUCCUCCAAGGCUAAAUACUCCUGACUGACCGAUAGUGAACCAGUACCGUGAGGGAAAGGCGAAAAGAACCCCGGCGAGGGGAGUGAAAAAGAACCUGAAACCGUGUACGUACAAGCAGUGGGAGCACCCUUUGGGGUGUGACUGCGUACCUUUUGUAUAAUGGGUCAGCGACUUAUAUUCUGUAGCAAGGUUAACCGAAUAGGGGAGCCGGAGGGAAACCGAGUCUUAAUUGGGCGUUAAGUUGCAGGGUAUAGACCCGAAACCCGGUGAUCUAGC
rnacentral:rRNA from 1 species